CCUACGGGAGGCAGCAGUGGGGAAUAUUGCACAAUGGGGGAAACCCUGAUGCAGCGACGCCGCGUGAGUGAAGAAGUAUUUCGGUACGUAAAGCUCUAUCAGCAGGGAAGAAAAUGACGGUACCUGACUAAGAAGCCCCGGCUAACUACGUGCCAGCAGCCGCGGUAAUACGUAGGGGGCAAGCGUUAUCCGGAUUUACUGGGUGUAAAGGGAGCGUAGACGGCAGCGCAAGUCUGGAGUGAAAUCCCAUGGCUUAACCAUGGAAUUGCUUUGGAAACUGUGCAGCUAGAGUGCAGGAGAGGUAAGCGGAAUUCCUAGUGUAGCGGUGAAAUGCGUAGAUAUUAGGAGGAACACCAGUGGCGAAGGCGGCUUACUGGACUGUAACUGACGUUGAGGCUCGAAAGCGUGGGGAGCAAACAGGAUUAGAUACCCUAGUAGUC
rnacentral:rRNA from 1 species